ACACUCGAAAAUAAGAGCCUAACAAAAAAACAAGUUUGACGGUUGUGAUCUCGAAGCAUAUAAAAACAAGUUUGUAAUUUUUGGCGUAUGCGAUCUCGAAGCAUAUACAAACAAGUUUGACGGUUAGAUCGUUAAAAUUAGUUUCAUAGAAUUUGUAUCCCAUCAAAACGUUAGAUUCACUAACACUUGGAGUUUAUUUCUACUUUCAUUAAGUAUAACAUAAGAUUUUGUGAUAUCCACUUGUGUAAAUAUUUUAAAUUGACGAUCAAAUUCAUUCAUUGUAUCGUAUAGGGUCAGGGAGUGUAGUUGUAAAAAAUCAUCAAAAUCAGAGUUAAAAUAACCGUUAAAUCGUGAUUUUUUGUUUUAUAACCUUCGAAAAGUUUGGUCUAAUUACUUGAUCUAUGAAUGUUUGUUUUUUGUGAUUUUUGAUGUAUGCGAUCUCGAAGCAUAUAAAAACAAGUUUGACGAUUGGAUCGUUAAAAUUAGUUUCAUAGAAUUCGUAUCCCAUCAAAACGAUAGAUUCACUAACACUUGGUGUUUAUUUAUACUUUCAUUAAGUAUAACAAAAGAUUUUGUGGUAUCCGUUUGUGUAAAUAUUUUAAAUUGACUAUCAAAUUCAUUCAUUGUAUUUGUAUAGGGUCAAGGAUUAUAGUUGUAAAAUAUCAUCAAAAUUGGAGUUAAAAUAACCGUUAAAUCAUGAUUUUUUGUUUUCUAACCGUCGAAAAGUUUUGCCUAAUUACUUGAUCUCUGAAUGUUUUUUUUUUUUGUGAUUUUUCACGUAUGCGAUCUCGAAGCAUAUACAAACAAGUUUGAGGGUUGGAUCGUUAAUAUUAGUUUCGUAGAACUCGUAUCCCAUCAAAACGAUAGAUUCACUAACACUAAGAGUUUAUUUAUACCUUCAUUAACUAUAACAUAAGAUUUUGUGGUAUCCACUUGUGUAAAUAUUUUAAAUUGACGAUCAAAUUAAUUCAUUGUAUUCGUAUAGGGUCAAGGAGUGUAGUUGUAAAAAAUCAUCAAAAUCGAAGUUAAAAUAACUGUUAAAUCGUGAUUUUUUGUUUUAUAACGUCGAAAUUUUUUGUCUAAUUACUUCAUUUCUGAAUGUUUGUUUAUUUUUUAUUUUUGGCGUAUGCGAUCUCGAAGCAUAUACAAACAAGUUUGACGGUUAGAUCGUUAAAAUUAGUUUCAUAGAAUUUGUAUUCCAUCAAAACGAUAGAUUCACUAACACUUACAGUUUAUUUAUACUUUCAUUAAGUAUACCAUGAGAUUUUGUGCUAUCCCCUUGUGUAAAUAUUUUAAAUUGACGAUCAAAUUCCUUCAUUGUAUUCGUAUAGGGUCAAGGAGUGUAGUUGUAAAAAAUCAUCAAAAUCGAAGUUAAAAUAACCGUUCAAUCGUGAUUUUUUGUUUUAUAACCGUCGAAAUGUUUUGUCAAAUUACUUGAUCUCUGAAUGUUUGUUUAUUUUUAUUUUUGGCGUAUGCGAUCUCGAAGCAUAUCCAAACAAGUUUGGCAGUUAGAUCGUUAAAAUUAGUUUCAUAGAAUUCGUAUCUCAUCAAAACAAUAAAUUCACAAACACUUGGUGUUCAUUUGUGCUUUCAUUAACUAUAACAUAAGAUUUUGUGGUAUCCACUUGUGUAAAUAUUUUAAAAUCACGAUCAAAUUCAUUCAUUGUAUUCGUAUAGGGUCAAGGAGUGUAGUUGUAAAAAAUCAUCAAAAUCAAAGUUAAAAUAACCGUUAAAUCAUGAUUUUUUGUUUUAUAACCGUCGAAGAGUUUUGUCUAAUUACUUGAUCUCUGAAUGUUUGUUUUUUUUGGUGAUUUUUGGCGUAUGCGAUCUCGAAGCAUAUACAAACAAGUUGACGGUUCGAUCGUUAAAAUUAGUUUCAUAGAAUUCGAAUCUCAUCAAAACGAUAAAUUCACUAACACUUGGAGUUUAUUUAUACUUUCAUUAACUAGAACAUAAGAUUUUGUGGUAUUCACUUGUGUAAAUAUUUUAAAUUCACGAUCAAAUUCAUUCAUUGUAUCGUAUAGGGUCAAGGAGUGUAGCUGUAAAAAAUCAUCAAAAUCAGAGUUAAAAUAACCGUUAUAUCGUGAUUUUUUGUUUUAUAACCUUCGAAAAGUUUUGUAUAAUUACUUAUUCUCUGAAUGUUUGUUUUUUGUGAUUUUUGACAUAUGCGAUCUCGAAGCAUAUACAAACAAGUUUGACGAUUGGAUCAUUAAAAUUAGAUUCAUAGAAUUCGUAUCCCAUCAAAACGAUAGAUUCACUAACACAUAGAGUUUAUUUAUACUUUCAUUAAGUAUAACAUAAGAUUUUGUGGUAUCCACUUGUGUAAAUAUUUUAAAUUGACGAUCAAAUUCAUUCAUUGUAUUUGUAUAGGGUGAAGAAGCGUAGUUGUAAAAAAUCAUCAAAAUUGGAAUUAAAAUAACCGUUAAGUCGUGAUUUUUUGUUUUAUAACCGUCAAAAAGUUUUGUCUAAUUACUUGAUCUCUGAAUGUUUGUUUUUUGUGAUUUUUGGCGUAUGCGAUCUCGAAGCAUAAACAAACAAGUUUGACGGUUGGAUCGUUAAAAUUAGUUUCAUAGAAUUCAUAUCCCAUCAAAACGAUAGAUUAACUAACACUUGGAGUUUAUUUAUACUUUUUUUAAGUAUAACAAACAAUUUUGCGGUAUCCAUUGUGUAAAUAUUUUACAUUGACGAUCAAAUUCAUUCAUUGUAUUCGUAUAAGGUCAAGGAGUGUAAUUGUAAAAAAUCAUCAAAAUUGGAGUUAAAAUAACCGUUAAAUCGUGAUUUUUUGUUUUAUAACCGUCGAAACGUUUUGCCUCAUUACUUAAUCUCUGAAUGUUUGUUUUUUGUAAUUUUCGGCGUAUGCGAUCCCGAAGCAUAUACAAUUAAGUUUGACGGUUGGAUCGUUAAAAUUAGUUUCAUAGAAUUUGUAUCACAUCAAAACGAUAGAUUCACUAACACUUACAGUUUAUUUAUACUUUCAUUAAGUAUAACAUGAGAUUUUGUGGUAUCCACUUGUGUAAAUAUUUUAAAUUGACGAUCAAAUUCAUUCAUUCUAUGCGUAUAGGGUCAAGGAGUGUAGUUGUAAAAAAUCAUCAAAAUCGGAGUUAAAAUAACCAUUCAAUCGUGAUUUUUUGUUUUAUAACCGUCGAAAAUUUUUGUCUAAUUACUUGAUCUAUGAAUGUUUGUUUAUUUUUAUUUUUGGCGUAUGCGAUCUCGAAGCUUAUACAAACAAGUUUGACGGUUAGAUCGUUAAAAUUAGUUUCAUAGAAUUCGUAUCUCAUCAAAACGAUAAAUUCACUAACACUUGGUGUUUAUUUGUACUUUCAUUAACUAUAACAUAAGAUUUUGUGGUAUCCACUUGUGCAAAUAUUUUAAAUUGACGAUCAAAUUCAUUCAUUGUAUUCGUAUAGGAUCAAUGAGUGUAGUUGUAAAAAAUCAUCAAAAUCGAAGUUAAAAUGACCGUUCAAUCGUGAUUUUUUGUUUUAUAACCAUCGAAAAUUUUUGUCUACUUACUUGAUCUCUGAAUGUUUGUUUAUUUUUUAUUUUUGGUGUAUGCGAUCUCGAAGCAUAUACAAACAAGUUUGACUGUUAGAUCGUUAAAAUUAGUAUCAUCGAAUUUGUAUCACAUCAAAACGAUAGAUUCACUAACACUUACAGUUUAUUUUUACUUUCAUUAAGUAUAAUAUAAGAUUUUGUGGUAUCCACUGGGGUAAACAUUUUAAAUUGACAAUCAAAUUCAUUCACUGUAUUCGUAUAGGAUAAAGGAGUGUAGUUGUAAAAAAUCAUCAAAAUCGGAGUUAAAAUAACCGUUCAAUCGUGAUUUUUUGUUUUAUAACCGUCAAAAUUUUUUGUCUAACUACUUUAAAUAUGAAUGUUUGUUUAUUUUUUAUUUUUGGCGUAUGCGAUCUCGAAGCUUAUACAAACAAGUUUGACGGUUAGAUCGUUAAAAUUAGUUUCAUAGAAUUCGUAUCUCAUCAAAACGAUAGAUUCACCAACACCUGGUGUUUAUUUGUACUUUCAUUAACUAUAACAUAAGAUUUUGUGGUAUCCACUUGUGUAAAUAUUUUAAAUUGAUGAUCAAAUUCAUUUGUUGUAUUCGUAUAGGAUCAAGGAGUGUAGUUGUAAAAAAUCAUCAAAAUCGAAAUUAAAAUAACAGUUAAAUCGUGAUUUUUUUUGUUUUAUAACCGUCGAAGACUUUUGUCUAAUUACUUGAUCUCUAAAUAUUUGUUUUGUUUGUGAUUUUUGGCGUAUGCGAUCUCGAAGCAUAUACAAACAAGUUUGACGGUUUGAUCGUUAAAAUUAGUUUCAUAGAAUUCGUAUCCCAUCAAAACGAUGGAUUCACUACCACAUGGAGUUUAUUUAUACUGUCAUUAAGUAUAACAUAAGAUUUUGUGGUAUCCACUUGUGUAAAUAUUUUAAUUUGACGAUCAAAUUCAUUCAUUGUAUCGUAUAGGGUCAAGGAGGGUAGUUGUAAAAAAUCAUCAAAAGCAGAGUUAAAAUAACCGUUAAAUCGUGAUUUUUUGUUUUAUAACCUUCGAAAAGUUUUAUCUACUUACUUGAUCUCUAAAUGUUUGUUUUUUGUGAUUUUUGACAUAUGCGAUCUUGAAGCAUAUACAAACAAGUUUGACGAUUGGAUCGUUAAAAUUAGUUUCAUAGAAUUCGUAUCCCAUCAAACCGAUAGAUUCACUAACACUUAUUGUUUAUUUAUACUUUCAUUAAGUAUAACAUAAGAUUUUGUGGUAUACACUUGUGUAAAUAUUUUAAAUUGACUAUCAAAUUCAUUCAUUGUAUUUGUAUAAGGUCCAAGAGUGUAGUUGUAAAAUAUCAUCAAAAUUGGAGUUAAAAUAACCGUUAAAUCAUGAUUUUUUGUUUUAUAACCGUCGAAAAGUUUUGUCUAAUUACUUGAUCUCUGAAUGUUGUUUCUUGUGAUUUUUGACGUAUGCGAUCUCGAAGCAUAUACAAACAAGUUUGACUGUUGGAUCGUUAAAAUUAGUUUCCUAGAAUUCGUAUCCCAUCAAAACGAUAGAAUCACUAACACUAAGAGUUUAUUUAUACUUUCAUUAACUAUAACAUAAGAUUUUGUGGUAUCCACUUGUGUAAAUAUUUUAAAUUCACGAUCAAAUUCAUUCAUUGUAUUUCUAUAGGGUCAAGGAUUGUAGUUGUAAAAAAUCAUCAAAAUUGGAGUUAAAAUAACCGUUAAGUCGUGAUUUUUUGUUUUAUAACCGUCGAAAUUUUUUGUCUAAUUACUUGAUCUCUGAAUGUUUGUUUUUUGUGAUUUUUGGCGUAUACGAUCUCGAAGCAUACACAAACAAGUUUGACGGUUGGAUCGUGGAAAUUAGUUUCAUAAAAUUCGUAUCCCAUCAAAACGAUAGAUUAACUAACACUUGGAGUUUAUUUAUACUUUCUUUAAGUAUAACAUACAAUUUUGCGGUAUCCACUUGUGUAAAUAUUUUAAAUUGACGAUCAAAUUCAUUCAUUGUAUCGUAUAGGGUCAAGGAGUGUAGUUGUAAAAAAUCAUCAAAAUCAGAGUUAAAAUAACCGUUAAAUCGUGAUAUUUUGUUUUAUAACCUUCGAAAAGUUUUGUCUAAUCACUUGAUCUCUGAAUGUUAGUUUUUUGUGAUUUUUGACGUAUAAGAUCUCGAAGCAUAUACAAACAAGUUUGACGAUUGGAUCGUUAAAAUUAGUUUCAUAGAAUUCGUAUCCCAUCAAAACAUUAUAUUCACUAACACUUAUUGUUUAUUUAUACAUUCAUUAAGUAUAACAUAAGAUUUUGUGGUAUCCACUUGUGUAAAUAUUUUAAAUAGACUAUCAAAUUCAUUCAUUGUAUUUGUAUAGGGUCAAGGAGUGCAGUUGUAAAAUAUCAUCAAAAUUGGAGUUAAAAUAACCGUUAAAUCAUGAUUUUUUGUUUUAUAACCGUCGAAAAGUUUUAUCGAAUUACUUGAUCUCUGAAUGUUUGUUUUUUGUGAUUUUUGACAUAUGCGAUCUCGAAGCAUAUACAAAUAAGUUUGAAUGUUGGAUCGUUAAAAUUAGUUUCGUUGAAUUCGUAUCCCAUUAAAACGAUAGAUUCACCAACACUAAGAGUUUAUUUACACUUUCAUUAACUAUAACAUAAGAUUUUGUGGUAUCCACUUGUGUAAAUAUUUUAAAUUGACGAUCAAAUUCAUUCAUUGUAUUCGUAUAGGGUCAAGCAGUGUAGUUGUAAAAAAUCAUCAAAAUCGGAGUUAAAAUAACCGUUAAAUCGUGAUUUUUUGUUCUUUAACCGUCGAAAGUUUUUGUCUUAUUACUUGAUCUCUGAAUAUUUGUUUAUUUUUUAUUAUUGGUGUAUGCGAUCUCGAAGCAUAUACAAACAAGUUUGACGGUUAGAUCGUUAAAAUUAGUUUCAUAGAAUUCGUAUCCCAUCGAAACGAUACAUUCACUAACACUUGGUGUUUAUAUGUACUUUCAUUAACUAUAACAUAAGAUUUUGUGGUAUCCACCUGUGUAAAUAUUUUAAAUUGACAAUCAAAUUCAUUCAUUGUAUUUGUAUAGGGUGAAGGAGUGUAGUUGUAAAAAAUCAUCAAAAUUGGAGUUAAAAUAACUGUUAAGUCUUGAUUUUUUGUUUUUUAACCGUCGAAAAGUUUUGUCUAUUUACUUGAUGUCUGAAUGUUUCUUUUUUGUGAUUUUUGGCGAAUGUGAUCUCGAAGCAUAAACAAAUAAGUUUGACGGUUGAAUCGUUAAAAUUAGUUUCAUAGAAUUCGUAUCCCAUCAAAACGAUAGAUUAACUAACAAUUGGAGUUUAUUUAUACUUUCUUUAAGUAUAACAUACAAUUACGCGGUAUCCACUUGUGUAAAUAUUUUAAAUUGACGAUCAAAUUCAUUCAUUGUAUUUGAAUAAGGUCAAAGAGUGUAGUUGUAAAAAAUCAUCAAGAUCGGAGUUAAAAUAACCGUUAAAUCAUGAUUUUUUGUUUUCUAACCGUCGAAAAGUUUUGUCUCAUUACUUAAUCUCUGAAUGUUUGUUUUUUAUGAUUUUUGGCAUAUGCGAUCUCCAAGCAUAUACAAAUAAGUUUGACGGUUGGAUCAUUGAAAUUAGUUUCAUAUAAUUUGUAUCCCAUCAAAACGAUGGAUUCACUAACACUUACAGUUUAUUUAUACUUUCAUUAAGUAUAACAUGAGAUUCUGUGGUAUGCACUUGUGUAAAUAUUUUAAAUUGACGAUCAAAUUCAUUCAUUGUAUUCCUAUAGGGUCAAGGAGUGUAGUUGUAAAAAACCAUCAAAAUCGGAUUUAAAAUAACCGGUCAAUGGUGAUUUUUUGUUUUAUAACCGUCGAAAUAUUUUUUCUAAUUACUUGAUCUCUGAAUGUUUGUUUAUUUUUAGUUUUGGCGUAUGCAAUCUCGAAGCUUAUACAAACAAGUUUGACGGUUAGAUCGUUAAAAUUAGUUUCAUAGAAUUCAUAUCUCAUCAAAACGAUAGAUUCACUAACACUUGGUGUUUAUUUGUACUUUCAUUAACUAGAACAUAAGAUUUUGUGGUAUCCACUUGUGUAAAUAUUUUAAAUUGACGAUCAAAUUCAUUCAUUGUAUUCGUAUAGGAUCAAGGGGUGUAGUUGUAAAAAAUCAUCAAAAUCGAAGUUAAUAUAACCGUUAAAUCGUGAUUUUUUGUUUUACAACCAUCGAAAACUUUUGUCUCAUUACGUAGUCUCUGAAUGUUUGGUUUUUGUGAUUUUUGGAGUCUGCGAUCCCUAAGCAUAAAUAAACAAGUUUGAUGGUUGGAUCGUUAAAAUUAGUUUCAUAGAAUUCGUAUCCCAUCAAAACGAUAGAUUAACUAACACAUGGUGUUUAUUUAUACUUUCUUUAAGUAUAACAUACAAUUUUGCGGUAUACACUUGUGUAAAUAUUUUAAAUUGACGAUCAAAUUCAUUCAUUGUAUUUGUAUAGGGUCAAGGAGUGUAGUUGUAAAAAAUCAUCAAAAUCGGAGUUAAAAUAACCGUUAAAUCAUGAUUUUUUGUUUUAUAACCAUCGAAGAGUUUUGUCUCAUUACUUAAUCUCUGAAUGUUUUUCUUUUGUGAUUUUUGGCGUAUGCGAUCUCGAAGCAUAUACAAAUAAGUUUGACGGCUGGAUCGUUAAAAUUAGUUUCAUAGAAUUUGUAUCCCAUCAAAACGAUAGUUUCACUAACACUUACAGUUUAUUUAUACUUUCAUUAAGUAUAAUAUGAAAUUUUGUGGUAUCCCCUUGUGUAAAUACUUUAAAUUGACGAUCAAAUUCCUUCAUUGUAUUCGUAUAGGGUCAAGGAGUGUAGUUGUAAAAAAUCAUCAAAAUCGAAGUUAAAAUAACCGUUCAAUCGUGAUUUUUUGUUUUAUAACCGUCGAAAUGUUUUGUCAAAUUACUUGAUCUCUGAAUGUUUGUUUAUUUUUAUUUUUGGUUGAUGCGAUCUCGAAGCUUAUACAAACAAGUUUGACGUUAGAUCGUUAAAAUUAGUUUCAUAGAAUUCGUAUCUCAUCAAAACAAUAGAUUCGAGUAACACUUGGGGUUUAUUUGUACUUUCAUUAACUAUAAAUAAGAUUUUGUGGUAUCCACUUGUGUAAAAAUUAUAAAUUGACGAUCAAAUUCAUUCAUUGUAUUCGUAUAGGAUCAAGGAGUGUAGUUGUAAAAAAUCAUCAAAAUCGAAUUAAAAUAACCGUUAAAUCGUGAUUUUUUGUUUUAUAACCGUUCAAGAGUUUUGUCUAAUUAUUUGAUCUCUGAAUGUUUGUUUUUUUGUGAUUUUUGGCGUAUGCGAUCUCGAAGCAUAUACAAACAAGUUUGACGGUUCGAUCGUUAAAAUUAGUUUCAUAGAAUUCAUAUCCCAUCAAAACGAUAGAUUCACUAACACUUGGAGUUUAUUUAUACUUUCAUUAAGUAUAACAUAAGAUUUUGUGGUAUCCACUUGUGUAAAUAUUUUAAAUUGACGAUCAAAUUCAUUCAUUGUAUCGUAUAGGGUCAAGGAGUGUAAUUGUAAAAAAUCAUCAAAAACAGAGUUAAAAUAACCGUUAAAUCUUGAUUUUUUGUUUUAUAACAUUCGAAAAGUUUUGUCUAAUUAUUCGAUCUCUGAAUAUUUGUUUUUUGUGAUUUUUGACGUAUAAGAUCUCGAAGCAUAUACAAACAAGUUUGAUGAUUGCAUCGUUAAAAUUAGUUUCAUAGAAUUCGUAUCCCAUCAAAACGAUAGAUUCACUAACACUUAUUGUUUAUUUAUACUUUCAUUAAGUAUAACAUAAGAUUUUGUGGUAUCCACUUGUGUAAAUAUUUUAAAUUGACUAUCAAAUUCCUUCAUUGUAUUUGUAUAGGGUGAAGGAGUGUAGUUGUAAAAUAUCAUCAAAAUUGGAGUUAAAAUAACCUUUAAACAUGAUUUUUUGUUUUAUAACCGUCGAAAAGUUUUGUCUAAUUACUUGAUCUCUGAAUAUUUGUUUUUUGUGAUUUUUGACGUAUAAGAUCUCGAAGCAUAUACAAACAAGUUUGAUGAUUGCAUCGUUAAAAUUAGUUUCAUAGAAUUUGUAUCCCAUCAAAACGAUAGAUUCACUAACACUAAGAGUUUAUUUAUACUUUCAUUAAGUAUAACAUAAGAUUUUGUGGUAUCCACUUGUGUAAAUAUUUUAAAUUGACAAUCAAAUUCAUUCAUUGUAUUCCUAUAGUGUCAAGGAGUGUAGUUGUAAAAAAUCAUCAAAAUCGGAGUUAAAAUAACUGUUAAAUCGUGAUUUUUUGUUUUAUAACCGUCGAAAAUUUUUGUCUAAUUACUUGAUCUCUGAAUGUUUGUUUAUUUUUUAUUUUUGGCGUAUGCGAUCUCGAAGCGUAUACAAACAAGUUUGACGGUUAGAUGGUUAAAAUUAGUUUCAUAGAAUUCGUAUCCCAUCAAAACCAUAGAUUCACUAACACUUGGUGUUUAUUUGUACUUUCAUUAACUAUAACAUAAGAUUUUGUGGUAUCCACUUGUGUAAAUAUUUUAAAUUGACGAUCAAAUUCAUUCAUUGUAUUCGUAUAGGGUCAAGGAGUGUAGUUGUAAAAAAUCAUCAAAAUCGAAGUUAAAAUAACCGUUAAAUCGUGAUAUUUUGUUUUAUAACCGUCGAAGAGUUUUGUCUAAUUGUUUGGUCUCUGAAUGUUUGUUUUUUUAUGAUUUUUGGCGUGUGCGAUCUUGGAGCAUAUACAAACAAGUUUGACGGUUCUAUCGUUAAAAUUAGUUUCAUAGAAUUCGUAUCCCAUCAAAACGAUAGAUUCACUAAUACUUGGAGUUUAUUUAUACUUUCAUUAAGUAUAACAGAAGAUUUUGUGGUAUCCACUUGUGUAAAUAUUUUAAAUUGACGAUCAAAUUCAUUUGUUGUAUCGUAUAGGGUUAAGGAGUGUAGUUGUAAAAAAUCAUCAAAAUCAGAGUUAAAAUAAGCGUUAAAUCGUUAUUUUUUGUUUUAUAACCUUCGAAAAGUUUUGUCUGAUUACUUGAUCUCUGAAUGCUUGUUUUUUGGGAUUUUUGACAUAUGCGAUCUCGAAGCAUAUACAAACAAGUUUGACGAUUGGAUCGUUAAAAUUAGUUUCUUAGAAUUCAUAUUCUAUCAAAACGAUAUUCACUAACACUUAGAGUUUAUUUAUAUUUUCAUUAAGUAUAACAUAAGAUUUUGUGGUAUCCACUACUGUAAAUAUUUUAAAUUGAAAAUCGAAUUCUUUCAUUGUUUUCAUAUUGGGUCAAGGAGUGUAGUUGUAAAAAAUCAUCAAAAUCGUAGUUAAAAUAAACGUUAAAUCGUGAUGUUUUGUUUUAUAACCGUCGAAAAGUUUUGUCUCAUUACUUGAUCUCUGAAUGUUUUUUUUUUGUGAUUUUUGGUUUAUGCGAUCUCGAAACAUAUACAAAGAAGUUUGACGGUCGGAUCGUUGAAAUUAGUUUCAUAGAAUUCGUAUCCCAUCAAAAUAAUAUUCACAAACACUUAGAGUUUAUUUAUACUUUCAUUUAGUAUAAUAUAAGAUUUUGUGGUAUCCACUAGUGUAAUUAUUUUAAAUUGAAAAUCGAUUUCAUUCACUGUAUUUAUAUAGGGUCAAGGAGUGUAGUUGUAAAAAAUCAUCAAAAUCGGAGUCAAAAUAACCGUUAAAUCGUGAUUUUUUGUUUUAUAACCGUCGAAAAGUUUUGGCUCAUUACUUGAUCUCUGAAUGUUUUUUUUUUGUGAUUUUUGGUUUAUGCGAUCUCGAAACAUAUACAUACAAGUUUGAUGGUCGGAUCGUUGAAAUUAGUUUCAUAGAAUUCGUAUCCCAUCAAAACUAUAUUGACUAACACUUAGAGUUUAUUUAUAAUUUCAUUAAGUAUAAUAUAAGAUUUUGUAGUAUCCACUAGUGUAAUUAUUUUGAAUUGAAAAUCGAAUUCAUUCAUUGUAUUUAUAUAGGGUCAAGGAGUGUAGUUGUAAAAAAUCAUUAAAAUCGGAGUUAAAAUAACCGUUAAAUCGUGAUUUUUUUUUUAUAACCGUCGAAAUUUUUUGUCUCAUUACUUGAUCUCUGAAUGUUUGUUUUUUGUGUUUUUUGGCGUAUACGAUCUCGAAGCAUAUACAAACAAGUUUGACUGUUGAAUUGUUGAAAUUAGUUUCAUAGAAUUCGUAUCUCAUCAAAACGAUAGAUUCACUAACACUUAGAGUUUAUUUAUACUUUCGUUAAGUAUAACAUAAUAUUUUGUGGUAUCCACUAGUGUAAAUAUUUUAAAUUGAAAAUCGAAUUCAUUUAUUGUAUUCAUAUAGGGUCAACUUGUGUAGCUGUAAAAAAAAUCAUCAAAAUCGGAGUUAAAAUAACCGUUAAAUCGUGAUAUUUUGUUUUAAAACCGUCGUAAAGUUUCGUCCCGUUACUUGAUUUCUGAAUGUUUGUUUUUUGCGAUUUUUUGCUGAUUUGAUCUCGAAGCAUAUAGAAACAAGUUUAUCGGCUGAAUCGUUGAAAUUAGUCACGGUAGCCUGCGAAGAACUCACUUGCCUGCUAGGAACGCACUACAUGCACCGUAUCCGCGGCAUAGACGAGCCAAACACAUGGAAGAGCAGCCUAGACCAACAAGUCACGGUUGGGGGCAGUCGAGAGCUCCGCUACCCUAACGAAGACAAAUUCUAGAAGAAGUAGAGAGACUCUUGACCAAGCGAUUACACAAUUUCCAACGCAAUGAGGUCACCGAUAAGGCACUACAACGGAACAUGACCAACAUAAGAAGGUCACCUUUCAUGGACGAGAUCGAGCAGGCAAAGCCUCCACACGAGUUCAGCAUGCCACAUUUCACAUCUUUCAAAGGGGAUGAAGACCUGGAAAGACACUCAAAGCACUACCAAAGCGCAAUGAUCCUCUCAAUGAUCCUCUAUCGAAACGACAAUGAUCUCAUGUGCAAGAUAUUCGUCACCACUUUACAAGGCAAGACGCAAGAUUGGUUCUACACAUUGCCGCCACAAUCCAUCUGAAAUUUCGAUGAACUUUCUUUGGUUUUCACCAAAGAAUAUUCAUCCAAUCGCUCGAUCAAAAAGAAGUCUGACCAUUUGUUCGACGUCAAGAAGAACCCAAAGGAGUCGCUUCGCGACUAUGUGAGGAGGUUCAAAGCAGAGAAGGCAAGGAUAGUCGGAUGUAACGACUCGAUAGCUAGCAGCCUUCCAAAAAAGACUUCUAGCAGACCACCCACUAUUCGGAAAAUUGAUCAUGAAAGAAGAUCUAACUCUGGCAGACUCUUUCGCUCUGGCAAAGAAGCAUGCACUUUAGGACGAGG
rnacentral:lncRNA from 1 species